AAAUUGAAGAGUUUGAUCAUGGCUCAGAUUGAACGCUGGCGGCAGGCCUAACACAUGCAAGUCGAACGGUAACAGGAAUCAGCUUGCUGAUUCGCUGACGAGUGGCGGACGGGUGAGUAAUGUCUGGGAAACUGCCCGAUGGAGGGGGAUAACUACUGGAAACGGUAGCUAAUACCGCAUAACGUCGCAAGACCAAAGAGGGGGACCUUCGGGCCUCUUGCCAUCGGAUGUGCCCAGAUGGGAUUAGCUAGUAGGUGGGGUAACGGCUCACCUAGGCGACGAUCCCUAGCUGGUCUGAGAGGAUGACCAGCCACACUGGAACUGAGACACGGUCCAGACUCCUACGGGAGGCAGCAGUGGGGAAUAUUGCACAAUGGGCGCAAGCCUGAUGCAGCCAUGCCGCGUGUAUGAAGAAGGCCUUCGGGUUGUAAAGUACUUUCAGCGGGGAGGAAGGGAGUAAAGUUAAUACCUUUGCUCAUUGACGUUACCCGCAGAAGAAGCACCGGCUAACUCCGUGCCAGCAGCCGCGGUAAUACGGAGGGUGCAAGCGUUAAUCGGAAUUACUGGGCGUAAAGCGCACGCAGGCGGUUUGUUAAGUCGGAUGUGAAAUCCCCGGGCUCAACCUGGGAACUGCAUCUGAUACUGGCAAGCUUGAGUCUCGUAGAGGGGGGUAGAAUUCCAGGUGUAGCGGUGAAAUGCGUAGAGAUCUGGAGGAAUACCGGUGGCGAAGGCGGCCCCCUGGACGAAGACUGACGCUCAGGUGCGAAAGCGUGGGGAGCAAACAGGAUUAGAUACCCUGGUAGUCCACGCCGUAAACGAUGUCGACUUGGAGGUUGUGCCCUUGAGGCGUGGCUUCCGGAGCUAACGCGUUAAGUCGACCGCCUGGGGAGUACGGCCGCAAGGUUAAAACUCAAAUGAAUUGACGGGGGCCCGCACAAGCGGUGGAGCAUGUGGUUUAAUUCGAUGCAACGCGAAGAACCUUACCUGGUCUUGACAUCCACAGAACUUUCCAGAGAUGGAUUGGUGCCUUCGGGAACUGUGAGACAGGUGCUGCAUGGCUGUCGUCAGCUCGUGUUGUGAAAUGUUGGGUUAAGUCCCGCAACGAGCGCAACCCUUAUCCUUUGUUGCCAGCGGUCCGGCCGGGAACUCAAAGGAGACUGCCAGUGAUAAACUGGAGGAAGGUGGGGAUGACGUCAAGUCAUCAUGGCCCUUACGACCAGGGCUACACACGUGCUACAAUGGCGCAUACAAAGAGAAGCGACCUCGCGAGAGCAAGCGGACCUCAUAAAGUGCGUCGUAGUCCGGAUUGGAGUCUGCAACUCGACUCCAUGAAGUCGGAAUCGCUAGUAAUCGUGGAUCAGAAUGCCACGGUGAAUACGUUCCCGGGCCUUGUACACACCGCCCGUCACACCAUGGGAGUGGGUUGCAAAAGAAGUAGGUAGCUUAACCUUCGGGAGGGCGCUUACCACUUUGUGAUUCAUGACUGGGGUGAAGUCGUAACAAGGUAACCGUAGGGGAACCUGCGGUUGGAUCACCUCCUUACCUUAAAGAAGC
rnacentral:rRNA from 1 species